GUGGAGCUUCGAGAGCCAGGUGAAGCCCAGAGUGAGAUGGAGCUCCAAGUGAAGGUGGAUCGAGCACGAGAUAGGAGACUCAGGAGGACAAGAGGCGACGUCGCAAGAUAAGAUUCCUAUUACCGCAGGAUGAUGCCCCGUGUAGGUCUCAGGUCAAUAGGAGCACAGCAUACGACUGAGAUGGAAUCGAGCGGCCUGGCUCGACUACCAUCUUUGCUCAUCCAUGAUCAGCAGAUGAUUGCCCCAGGUCAUGGGGGUGAAGAGAUCCAGAAGCUCUCGG
rnacentral:lncRNA from 1 species